AAAAAAAUAAAACCCAACCCAAACCAGGAGCUGCUAAUGCAUAUCCAACCCAGAGAGCAGCUAAACUUCCACAUUCUUUAGCAUUCCCAGCUGUCAGCAUUUACCAAACCUCUGAACCUGCCUCUCCCCAAGCACAAAGGGUGAAAAGUUUGAAUAUUUUGGAAGGAGCUGAUACACGCCCCACAAAGGACACAGAAAAAUUUGAUUAUUUGUGAACCAUUGGUGUUCUGGCAGAAAGACAGCUGUGUUGCCUAACAUCAAACACUCCUAAAGUGCUUUGUGUGUGAGAUUAAAAAGCUGCAAGUCUCAGGCCAUCUGGCCAACCAAACGGAUUUCGUGUACAGGAUCACUGCCAGAUGUAUGCCAGUUGCAAUGUAAAUUGUCCUGGCCAGCUGUGUCCAAGAGCAGCAAGAAUAAGUUCAGGCUCCUUUCCAGCAGAGGACUCCAUUCACGCCCAAAUGUGUGUGCUGUGGGGAUUCCUCCAGGCAACGAAAUUCUGGGAUUUGUGUCCUCCUCUCACCAUGGCUAAAGUGAAAACCAUUCCCUGCCCAAGAGCAAAUACAGCUGCAGUCCAUUGCUGAAAUAGGGAAGCUGUCAGGGUAAUUGCUAUUUGCUUUGCAUUCAGAAUACCUUUAAAAUCUUUUUGGUGGAUUUAAGAUUAAAUCUGCACAAGACAAGGGCAUCCAACUUUCAGGGUGGUUUGCCUUAUAAAAAACUGUGCAUUUAGAGGAGCACAGCUCCUUUGCAGGAAAGAACAAAAGUAUGAAGUAGGAGUUGUCAGUGGAUGUUAUGCUGUAGCCAGGGAUGCACAUCAAGAGGGACUAAACCCAACAAAUAGUCAGAUUUCUGCACUCUGCUUGUGUGUGGCCCUUGGAAAGCUCUGAGCCUUCUUUCCACACUGUGCUAAGACAGACAGAUCAAGGGUGGGGGACAGAGUGCAGCUGUAAACAUAAGCAAAGUUGUGUUUGUGUAUUUACUGACUUAAUUGUCCUCUGCUUAGUCUGGUUUUAAGUGACUUGCUAGUUUGAUUUAAAGCUAAUUGCUGAUUUCAAAAUCAUCUGUCUCCAGCCAUUUGCAAUCAUAGGCUCUUUGGUCUAUACAUUUUUGUAUCAUCCCAGUUUGGCAUGACAACAUUUCCUUGAUCUGAAAUAUUUUUAUUUCUGUUCUUUGAAGUCCUAAUGAACGUGGCACUUUCCAUCUUCACUUCUGGAAAAUGCUGCUCUUGGACAGCAGCUGUGUCCCAUUGCUCUGCAAUGUGGAGUGACAGCUCAUA